rnacentral:tRNA from 1 species
GAGGAUAAAUGGUUCAAGUUUUGAUUUCUAAUCAAGUUCGCAAGUGGUUCAAUUCCACUUUAUUCUCU